AACGCGAAGAACCUUACCUGAUCUUGACAUCCACAGAACUUUCCAGAGAUGGAUUGGUGCCUUCGGGAACUGUGAGACAGGUGCUGCAUGGCUGUCGUCAGCUCGUGUUGUGAAAUGUUGGGUUAAGUCCCGCAACGAGCGCAACCCUUAUCCUUUGUUGCCAGCGGUUAGGCCGGGAACUCAAAGGAGACUGCCAGUGAUAAACUGGAGGAAGGUGGGGAUGACGUCAAGUCAUCAUGGCCCUUACGACCAGGGCUACACACGUGCUACAAUGGCAUAUACAAAGAGAAGCGACCUCGCGAGAGCAAGCGGACCUCAUAAAGUAUGUCGUAGUCCGGAUUGGAGUCUGCAACUCGACUCCAUGAAGUCGGAAUCGCUAGUAAUCGUAGAUCAGAAUGCUACGGUGAAUACGUUCCC
rnacentral:rRNA from 1 species